GAGUUCAGUUUCCUAAGUUUCAAUUUUUGUCGUGAAUACACUGACAAUGGUACCUUUCUGUAUUGUAGCUGCAGCUGCUGCCAUUGUGGCCUUGAGGGUCACUCCCUCCACACCCAUGGAACAUCUGAGCCAGAUAAGGAGGAGAAAGAAGAGGACUCGGGAUGACACAUUCCAGGAGAUGCUGCCAGUGUUGCAUCAGAGAACGACACCAGGGCCUGGAGGAUGACCCUUGCAGACAGCAUGCAGAAGGCAAGAGUGGUUAGAAAAAAGGCCCGGGAGUUCAAGCAGGAAAAGGAGAGGGAGAUGCACCAGGACAUAAUGGGGCUUCUCAGGCAGCAAACAGAGAUGUUGCGGACUCUGGUAGACCUACGCUCAAGAGUCUUGUGCUGACCGCCCUCUGCAGCCUAUAGACAACUCAAUGUCUGGACCUCCCUACACCUCCCCUCAACAUUCCACAUGGCAUCAAGGGCUGCUGCAUUACCCCUACCACUCCACCUGGGGAACAUUAAAGACAAUCACAACUGCACCUACGCUGACCUGUGAAAGACAUGGUUGGUUCUGCAGGAAUGGAGCCCGAACUGCUGAGGACUAUGCUGACGAGUCUCGCCAGCACAUCACGUUUGGCAGUCGAGUUAUUCCUUAUGAUCCAAAGUGACAGUGAGAGCUCCAACGACAAUAUUGACUCGAGUAAUGCAUAUUACUCGAGUUUGCUUGUGGCAUUCACGGACAUGCUCACCACCGUGGAACGCCGCUUUUGGGCUCGGGAAACAAGCACUGAGUGGUGGGAUCACAUCGUCAUGCAAGUCUGGGAUGACGAGCAGUGGUUGCAGAACUUUCGGAUGAGAAAAACCACUUUCAUGGGACUGUGUGAGGAUCUCGCCCUCACCCUGCGGCGCAAGGACACGUGAUUGAGAGCUGCCCUGAUUGUGGAGAAGCAAUCUGGAAGCUGGCAACUCCAGACAGCUAUCAAUCGGUCACUAACCAGUUUGGAGUGGGAAAGUCGACCGUUGAAAUUGUGUUGAUGCAAGUUUGCAGGGCCAUUAAUCGCCUCCCGCUCAGAAGAACCGUGACUCUGUGUAACGCGCAUGACAUUGUGGCUGGCUUUGCACAAAUGGGUUUCCCUAACUGCGGAGGGGCGAUUGAUGGCACACAUAUUCCAAUUCUGACACCAGCCCACCUAGCCUCCGAGUACGUUAAUCGGAAGGGGUAUUUCUCGAUGGUUCUCUAGGCACUUGUGGAUCAGUGGGUGUUUCAUUGACAUUAAUGCAGGCUGGCCCGAAAAGGUGCAUGA
rnacentral:lncRNA from 1 species